rnacentral:lncRNA from 1 species
GGCAGCCCCGCGCCGCCGCCGCCGUGCAGGCCCAGCGGGCCUCCCAGCUCGGCCAGGCGGGGCAGCUCACCCGGACAGCGCGAGCCCAGCGCCGGCGACAGCGCGCUGGCGGGGCUUGGGUACAUGAGCGGCGAUGAUGGCGCCAGGGCCUCCAGGGCCUCGUCGUCCUCCAGCUCGGCCGCCUCCCCGAGCAGGGGUCUCCCGCCGCCGCGGAAGUCGGCCCAAGCCUCGUAGUCGUCGCUGGCGUGCGAGGCGGGGCUGGCGGCCCACUUGGCUGCGGCAGGCACCGGCCCCGGGGCGGGCGCACUCGGGGAGCUGUCGUCCGGGCUUCGCUCGGGCGCCUGCAGCUGCUUCUUCUUGCUCGCCUUGCCCUUGAUGCGCAGGAACUUGGCCCCGUUGUCCAUGGACACGGCCCUGCGCCGCGGGGUCUUCCCUGUCUUUCCGCCCUCGGGGUUCAGCAUCCACCACGAACUCUUGCCGGUGCCCUCGUUCUGCACGCGGAUGAAACGGGUGUGCAGCGACAGGUUGUGCCGGAUGGAGUUCUGUGGCCAGAGACAAGGACGCGGGUGGGAGUCGGGGGGUGAGGAGGCCAUGGGGAGAGAGGGGACGUGAUGGAAAGAAGAGGGGGAGGAUAAGAGAGUGUAGGAGGAGGAGGGAGAUAGGGAUGAGGAUGAGGUAAGGGGGUUGGGAGAGGGAGGGGACAGGUGUAAGUACCGGGUUGGACAAACCCAGAGUACCCACCCUCUGCCCCAGAACUGCACCCCCCAUCCCUCCCCACUCCCACACAGAGACUGCCCAGAGGGUGAGGCCACAGCUUUGGGCCUAGCCUUUCCCUGGGGGCAUGGCCAACCCUGUGGGCUACUCUGAGCCUGCGGGGGGCCUGCAGCAGGGAGCAGGACCCCGUCUCCCCAGCUCAGCCAAGCCCCACGCGGGGCUAACCAGGCUGCCAGGGCCCCCAGCAGAUUACGUAAGGGCUUAUGCCGCCGCGGCUCAUUUGUCCGCCCCCCUCCCUCUCCAGCCUGGCGUGGCGCCAGGAGCCCGAAAACCCAGGGCUCCAGAAAUCAAUCUCGCGGUGACUGAUUAAGCCCUGUUUAGAACUAAUUGCUCUUUCGUGUGUGGGGAGAAUAAAUUACCUGCUUUAAUUUCGUGUCUUUAAAAUGCAACUGCAGGUAGAGAAGACUGUUAACCCUUUGCUGGGAGGGCCUGGCCAGGGGAAACAGAGUAGGCUGGGGUCCCCAAGGUGGGUCCAGGCCUGAGACUUUUCGGAGGUAUCACCCCAACUCCUCUUAGCUGCUGUGAACUCCACAGAGGGUUUGGAUUCCAGCAGGCCCCUCAAAAGACAUCCUUUUGCCACAGAGACCUCAGCCUUCACCCUCUUCAGUGCCCACCUUCAGGCCAGCCCAGCUCUCCUGCCUGCCCUUUGGGCUGCACCCUGCCCUCCUCUCCUGACCCACCUGCCUGCCCUCCAAGCCCCUUGCUGUUGGAGCCUUCUCAAAAUCCCCACAGUGUGUGGCAAAGUCCCCAUUCACACGCCAGAAGACCUAGGCUCAGAGAGAGGAAUGGCUUGCCCAAGGUGGCCUUUUCUGCUGUCCCUCGGUUCCUCCCUGGGCUUCACCUCUGCCAUCUCUCCAUACAUCCUCUUUUUAAUUCUGCUGUGCCAGUCUCCAGUGCUCCCCAUGUCACUGCCUGCUUUUGCCAGGCCUGUUCUGAGGACAGAGGAAGGCAGGAAGUCCACUGGCCCCACUGGAAUCUGGAGUAGAACUUCUGCUGGGCCUGCGGCACCCCACCUCUGGGGCCUCCCACCUGGUGGCCUCAACUUCCUGGUCCAGGUACUGCUAUGGAAACAGCAGGGGCUUGGGUAUCAGAGGGUGGGACAGGAUGCCUGGCUCUUUGGCUGCCUAGCUAUGUGACCAUGGGGUGUUUACUCAGUUUCUUGUGAGCCUCAGUGAACUACUCUGAAAAAGUGGGCUACAUUCAGUAACUACCUCUUAAGGCUGUAAGAUCAUUACAUGUGCAUGAAUAAGUAUUUGCACACCAGGUGCUUAUAAACGUUGGUUAUAUCCUCACUCUGGCCAGAAGCUCUCACCCCUUCGGUCCCCCAACAGACCUGCUGUUUCCAUCUCUUUAACAUCAUGCCUUGUGUGCAACUGUGCUGGGCACCAACAACUCUGGGAAGCUGGCAUUCUCCAAUUUCAUACACUAGGGACCGGAGGCCCAGAGGCAUGAUGUAACUUCCCGUGGCCCCACAGCUAGGCAACGAUGCCCGGUACCACUCCAGCUCUGCCCAGCUCAUGGACCUGCUCUUAACCUGUGAAUCCACCCAGCCACACUCACAGCCACUGCUCUGUGAGGCUCUCCCUCCUGCCUCCUUCCCACCAGUCUCCUGGAGGAGGGGUCCUUCCUGCUGCCCAGGGUACCCUCCCACCCCUCACCCCCAGCUCCAGGCACUGAUCUGACUCCUCAGGGCCCCAGGCUCCCUGUCUCUGGCACUUUCUGGCCUUUGAAGGCAACAGCUGGGACUUGCCAGCCUUGCCCUGCCUGGUUCUCUGGAGACCCUGAGGGGAGGGGAGCUGGGCCCCCAGGGAGCAGUGCUCCCUCAAGUAGAUACCCCCUUCCUGUUCCCACCCCUGCACCUGGCUCCCCAGCCCCUCCCCAACACCUGUGUUCAGCCUCCUAGGAGGCCUCAGUUCUCCUCCCCCAUAGGACUGUCUGGCUUACAAGAGGCUCCACCUCCCACCUCCCCAUUUCUCCAGCUGGAGGUCACUCAGGCAACACCUCUUUAUCAAUGUCAUUAUGUCCUGGAGGAAGGACAGUACCAGGUACCAGCACCUAGCAAGCGCUUGCCCAUUCAGCCCUGGGCACUCUAAGUACUUUAUCAAAUGUAAUCAUUAGAUGAACUCCACACAAGUCAGGGAUUGUGAUCCCUAUCUCAUAACCGGAGAGUGAGGCUCAGAGAUGUUAAGUGAGUUACCAGGGUCACACAGCUUAAGUGCUGUGCCAUGUAUUGAUUUCAGGUUGGUGUUUUGUUUUGUUUUGUUUUGUUUUGUUUUGUUUUGUUGAGACAGGGUUUCACUCUAGCCCAGACUGGAGUACAGUGGCACGAUCUCAGCUCACUGCAACCUCCGCCUCCCAGGCUCAAGUGAUUCUCCUGCCUCAGCCUCCCAAGUAGCUGGAAUUACAGGUGCGUGCCACUGCCACCCAGCUAAUUUUUGUAUUUUUAGUAGAGAUGGGGUUUCACCACGUUGACCAGACUGGUCUUGAACUCCUGACCUCAGAUGAUCCACCCGCCUCGGCCUCCCAAAGUGCUGGGAUUACAGGUUGGUCUUAUUCUAAGUCUAAAGGAUAUCACAUUCUGCCAUGGAAGACAGAAACAGGUCUGAGAAUCCCAAAGAAUCUUAGGAAGCCAGUAUUCCAGUGCUCCUCAAACUUUCCAUGUAAACCAUCCCUAGAAGCUGGCAGCAGGGGAAGUCUGGGGGCAUGUUGCACAGGUCAAAAUUUCCUGCAAGUCUAAGCUUCCUUUUUAGACUUCAAGGAAAUUUUGCAUAGACUUCAUAAUCCACCCACAUUUUCUUUAUACACAUUAUUCACAUGUUUUAGAAUUACCGCCAAGACAAGCUCCAGGCCUCUGAAGGUUUGCAUCCUUCCCUGCUCUGUCCCAUAUCCAGCCAGGUACCCCUGGAGCUCAGGCCUCAGCCUGAAACCAUGGCUGGCCCAACCCAUGGGGAAGAAAGGACUUGCCCAAGGCUGUCCGAGACCUGGUGGCAGAGCAGGGAUGUGAGCCCAGGCCUCCCGACCCCCAGCCCCGUGUUCCUCCCACUCUACCAAGCCUGACCUAGAUGAAGUUUCUCCUUCUUUGGGGGCCUCAGUGUCCUGAACUAUAAACUAAGGAGAUGGGCAAGUUGUACUCUGGGAACCUUUUCAGUUUGACAAUGAAAAUCCUUAGAAUCAUUCAGUCCAGAGGUUUUCAAACAUUUUUCUUAAAUAGGGGAACUCUUUCUGUAAAUGAGAUUUAGUGCAAAACUUAAGCGUUACACACUCAAGCCAAUGGUGGUGGGGACAGGAGUACCUGGAUCCCUGUGCACUCAGCACCCUUUUUCACAGAAAAUGAAGCUCCUGGGGAGGAUUCUGCAGGCCAGAUGGAUGGGGUCUUUGAGGCACAGAGGGAUGCCAUGCCUUGCUCAGGGUCAGACAAGGUGGCUCAGAGCUGAGCGAUGACCUAGGCCUCUGACUGCUGAGCUGGGCUCUGAACCAGGUAUGCUCCAGGGCUGUGCCCCAUGAGAGAAGCUCAGGCCCUGCAGCCCAGUCUGGCUCCUCAGGGCCCAGCCACCUGGUACCAAUCAGAGCUCCCUGCCAGAUCCAGUGGCAAGCACUGAUCACAGCUCUGGCUCACACCACAAGGCCUCCUGGGAGGCCAGAGGCCAUGGAGGAGGUGAAAGAGGCAGAGGAGGGAGAUGCCUCUGCCAGGCAGCAGUAACCAGGGCUCCCUCUUAGAGUCGCCUAGCAACCCACCACCACAGCCACAGCCCUGGCAUGCCCGGGCUCCCCAGGUGCCCAGAGCUGGGCCCAGCUUCUGGGGCCUCAUGCCUCCCACACCUACAUCCAGACCUGGAGCAUGUUGCUAGGGGAGUCAGGACAUACCUGAUUCAGGGCCCGAGGGAGACCAUCUGGGGGCAGAGGGAAAGGACAGUGGGUUAUAUCUCAUGCCUACCCCGUUCUCCUUCAGAACCUGGGCCAGGGAGCCCAGCCCCCAGGGAUUCCCCCACCAGGGAGGAGGCUAGAGUAGGGCAAAGUACAUCAGCUGUAGCGUUCGAACUGGAUUCCCCGUUUCAGCCCCAUCACCUGUGAGUGCUAUGACCCUGGGGCAAGAUGUUUUCAAGCUCCAUUCCUCAAAUGGCUCCCUGCUCCCUCCCUCACCUCCUUAUAGCACUCCACGCAGCAGCCAGAGUGACCCUUCAAAUAACCGAGAUCACGUCCAUUCCUGCCCAGAUCCCUCCGACACCCUCCAUCUCACUCACAGUGAGGAACAAAGGCCUUGCCAUGGCCCACAAGACCCACAGUGACCAUGCAGGUACCCCGCUCCAUCCCUCCCUCCCAUCCUCAAACCUGCCAGGCAUGGUCCCGCCUGCCCCCAGAUAUCCACAGAGAUCGCUCCUCUCCUUCCAGUCUUUGUUCAGAUGCCAUCUCUUGGAACGGGGCCCAUCCUGACCUCUCUUAAAAACUGUUCCUCUUCCCUGGAAUUUCUUGGCCCCCUGAUCCUGCUCUAUGUUUUUCUAAAGCAUUUUCACAUUCUAAAUUAAUACAUUAUUUAUCCUAUCUUUAUAUUAGAAUAUAAGUUUCAUGAGGGCAGUGAUUUUUAUCCUUUUUAAAACUGUACCUCAUGUGUUUGGUACAUACUAGACACUUAAAUGUUUGUCAAAUGAAUGAAUGGAUGAAUGAAUAAGAGAAAGUGUGUAUGUGCAAGGAGGAGUAAUACUGUGUUGUAGGGAGAUUAAAUAAGACUGGGCAGAGUGGCUGACACAUAAUAGGGGCUUUUCCAAACUGGGCAGAAAGAAGACACAGGCAGGAUGAGAAGCAGGCAGUGGGGUGAGAAUGUCCGAAGCAGUCUGACCCACUGAGGGGUGCCAGGGAGAGGAGUAGGGCAUCCAUUGGGGGUGAAGGAGAGGUCCCACGGUGCACAAUGCAGCUGCCUGCCCUCCCCAGCCCCCCACCCUGCUCCCCAGAGAGACUUGGAUAACCCAGGGCUGGCACACACCGAGGUCUCCCCUGGGCCAGAAGACGCUCCAGGAGCCCCAGUGGGAACAGGAUAACCUCGUCGUUGCUGAUGGUGCCUCCCUCAUGGACAGGGUCUGAUCCAUUUGGUGGUGGCAGCUCAUCUAUCCAGCAGGACACCCUCAUCUAUUCCCAGGAUGCCCUUCACCCACGAGCAGUAAUGCAUUCACCUGACAGCACAACCCCAUUUAUCCAGCACACCAGUCCCAUUUAUCCAGCAAGUACAACCUCAUUUGCUAACAGCACUCCAUUCACCUGACGGGCCCCCUCAUUUAUCCAGCAGGACACCCUCAUUUAUCCUCUGAGUCGGACACUCUCCUUCCUCCUGUGGUGUGGCUGUGUUCUCUGAUGGAGCAAAAGCCGACUGAUCCAGCAGGACGUCAUCUCUACUACAAGUACACUUCAUCCCCUGACAGUACAACCUCAUUUAUCUAAUAAUGCAGCCUCACCUUGCCCCCAAGUACCACCUCAUUCCCUGACAGCACAACCUCGUUGAUCUUCCGGUACAACCUCAUUUCUUCUCCCAACACAGCUUCAUUCUCCAACAGCUCAACCUCAUCUAAUCUUAUGCCUCCAGCCAGGGCCUGCCAGAUCUCCGGGAGCCAAAGGAGAGUGUAGAGAAAAGAGAGGUCCCUCAUUUGCUGUCCCCCACCCACAAGGGCUGCCUGGUGCUAUAACCAUCCAAUUUCUCCAGGCCCAGAAGGGGCCAUGGACUUUGAGUUCUAGGCUGCUUGGCCAAGCCAGAACUCCACUAUUGCCCUGCCUCCUGUUCUGUCCCCACCAUGGCUACAGAGGGCCCACAGGAUGGAUUCUGGGACAUGGACUCAUGGUUGCUGUACCAUCUUCUUAUUUAUUUAUAGCCAGAGAGGAGGAUUUCUUAUGUUGCCCACGUUGGUUUCAAACUCCUGACCUCAAGUGAUCUUCCUGCCUCGGCCUCCCAAAGUGCUGGGAUUACAGGUGUGAGCCAACUUGCCUGGCCAUCUCUGUGCCAUCUUCUUCUGAUCCUGGGCAGUGGGACUAGGGGAAGUUACCUUUUCUGGGGCACAUUUAGUGGUGUGCUGGCAAAUGUUUAACCACCAGCUCUUCUGGAAGUUAAAAAAAAAACCUACCUGAUUUGAUUUGUAGCUGUUGCUGCUUUCUGUGGUACGGAUACUCACAUCAUAGCCAAUUUUAAACUGCCACAUGACGUCACCGAGUGCAGAAUUGGGAAGAAGUGUGCACGAUCAGCCCUCAUGAGCCAGUGCAAACCAGCUCUCGCACACCACUGGCAUGUGCUUCAAAUGCUGAAGCCAGAGAAGGGCACCACCUACUACAUGCCUAACAUAGGCUAGGCUCCUUUAAUCCUGAUAACCAUCCUGUGAGUAGGUACUGCGAUUUUACAAAGGGGGCAAACUGAAGCUCAGGUGGGUUAAAUGACUCCUGAGGCCACAAAGCUGGGAAAUGACGGAGCCAGGCUUGGGUCUUAGGGCUGCUGGAUUCCAAAGCCAGAGCUCUCCCACACCUACCCCUAAUGUGGCAGGGGACACUCUGCUGUCCACCCCAGUGGCCAUCUCCACCUUGACGCUCAAGCCCAAGCUCUCCUAGCUUUCAUCAGAGACAGGGGACAAGGACUGUGCCCCCACCUACCACCAACCCUGUGCUACCUCCUGGCCUCCCUGGUACCUGGGGUCUUUCAGGAUCCAAGUGCGGCCCUGCAUCUUGUGUCCACCCAUCACAGCCCAAGCCCAAGGUCAGGUGUGGAUGCCUGUCCAGGUUGCAUCACAGUCAAAGGCUCAGCCCAGCCCCUCCCUCAGGAGACUGACCCUGACUACCUGAUGGGGAAAAUGACCCAGCACCUGUUACUGCAGUGACCUCCUGUGGGGCUGUGGUGAGGGCUCUGAUCCCCUCUAUGAUUCCCAUUUCCUCCUUCCCUCCUGGCCUUCCUUCCUGCAUACGGAGAGGUCAAAGACAGGAGACUGAAUCCCAACUUCAUCCAUGUGACAGUGGGCCUCCACUAUAACGAAGAUAACAAUCCCAGCAUCCACAGGGACAUAUGGGACCUGGAUGAAACCUCACAUGUCAAGAAUGUCAUCCCAUCCCUGUCUCAGAGCCCCAGGAGCCUCCCCAUCCUACCCCUUGCCCCCACCCAACUCUGGGGCCCCAGCCUGGCCUAGGAACACACACCUGUGUCAGACAGAGCCACAGACACCCUGAGAGUCACUUGCCCUGCCAUCUGGGGUGAAGUUCAGGUUCUCAGUCCAGGCCUCUUCCUGGCAAAAGAUGUGACCUGGAUGAUGCCAGGGACCCGAGGCCAUGUGCAAAUCCUCGGCACUAGGGUCUGCAGUGGAGAAGGGAUAGAAGGGCAGCUGGGGACCAUGGGACACAGAUGUCUCCAGGUGAGUGGGCUCAGGAUCAGCAGCGGAUCCUAGAGUGGGCAGCCUGGGGCCAGGAGGAACCAAUAUCCAAAGGAAGGCAUGAGGCUCUGGCACCCCCCAGAGAAAGCAGAGCCCACACACCCAGGCUCGGCAGCAAAUAAACCACCAACGAAAGUCCAACCUCACACUGCUCCAAUGCCCAUUCGUCCUUGUCACCUGCGGGCUUGGGUCCAAAACCAGGCUGAUACUAAAGAGCCCUCUGAUGUCCUCCAGCCUCAUCGCCCCCUUCCCUUAGGGCCAUCUGGGCCUCCAACCACCUUGGAUGUCCCCAUCCCUGUGCCUUUGCACACUGUUCCCUUUACUCUUGUCCCUUUCUCUGCUCUAUCAGUUCCUGUUCCUCCAUCAAGGCUAGCUCUGUGGCACCUUCCUCAUCCCCUAUGCAAGCCCCAAAGAUAGAUGCUCCCACCUUAGUGCUCCUGUAGAGAUCUAACAGCAAACCAGAGCAAAGUGGUGUCUGAGCUGGCCUCCCUACUCGAACUCUGUGGGGCAAUCCUUGGCUCAAGAGAAGUCAAGAGAUAGGAUGGAGCCCUCAGUAGCCACGAGCUGCUCAUGCCUGGCAUUUCUGUGUAGUUUCUGUUCAGCAAAAUCUCAGGCCAGAGCUCCAAGGCUUGCCCACCCUCUACCAGGGUCCUGUCUGACCCUCCUCCCUGCUGCUUUCUCCUGCAGCUCCUGUUGCCUCUGCCACCUCCUUACUUGACCCCAGUACUUCCUGCCUCCUUGGGAAAGUGAGGCAGUGAGUGGGGAAGGACUACUGCUUCUGAGACAUUGACCACAUGCCAUGCCCUGUGCUGCCACUCGAAAAUUAUCUCAUUGAAUUUUUGUAACAACCCUCUGGUUGGUUUAUUGUCCCCAUUUUACAGAUGAGAAACUGAGGCUCCAAGAGACAAACUGACUUGCCCAGGGUCGCAUAGUGUAAGUGGUGGUGCAGGAAUUUACACCCAGGGCCCUUGCUCUUUCUCCUGCCCUGAGAGACCUCCAGAGAGGAGCCAAAGCCAAGCAGAAGCUCCAGCGUGAGCCUGGGGUAGGGGCAAGGGGACUCUCCAUACUAGUUCAGCAACCCCUUCACAGACCCUCCUUCAUUCGGGAUUAAAAAGAACCCCUAAAUGCAAAGCAUUCAGACUUUUCCAUCUCCCCUCUCAGUCUGAGCCCCUCCCUCCCUCUGCAGGCAGCACUUCCCCACUCCCCUGCCCCAGGCCCUGGGAGCAGCUGCAGUGACCUCACCCAGCCCUGCCCUGAGCCCAGCUCUGGGGAGGGCCCAGCAGCUGUGCCCCAGCCCUGCAGGCUGGCUCCUGGGGGAGAAAGAGGAAGAGUGGGCAUGGUGCCAAGAGAACCAUCUGCUCUCCCAGGGGCAUGGCCACCCGCACAGACACUGGCCUUGCCCCCAGGGGCUGCCCUUGGUCCCCAUGCCAAGGGGCUCCAGGAGCCCAGGGCGGCCCACCCAGACCGGGGCACCAGCCCUCAUCUGC